GCAUCCGUAGCUCAAUUGGAUAGAGCGUCGGUCUUCGGAACCGAAGGUUUCAGGUUCGACCCCUGACGGAUGCA
rnacentral:tRNA from 2 species